rnacentral:misc_RNA from 1 species
AAGGACAAGGUGGUGGUGUU